AGGAUAAACGCUGGCGGCGUGCCUAACACAUGCAAGUCGAACGCGCACGGAGCAAUUCGUGUGAGUGGCGGACGGGUGAGUAACACGUGGGUACCUACCCCAAGGUGAGGAAUACUGGCGAGAAAUCGCCAACAAUACCGCAUAGGUUUGCGCAAGCAAACAAAGCCCGGGAACGGGCGCCAUGGGAAGGGCCUGCGGCCGAUUAGCUAGUUGGUGGGGUAAAAGCCUACCAAGGCAACGAUCGGUAGCUGGU
rnacentral:rRNA from 1 species